CCUGAGACUCAGGUGCUGGAACUAAAUUGUGGAGGUAAUUUCAGGAAGCAGAAGAAGGGCAUGGAGAAAGUAAGACCGGGAAGAGAAAAGGGAAGAAUCUGAUUGUGCCCAAGGAAGAGCUUCCUAACUGUGACAAAGGAGGUAAAGGAGGUGGUGACAUGCCCAUCCCUGGGAAAUUUUAAACUCAGCUGGCCAGCAAAUGGCUCCAGCAUGGCCUGGUCUGGGAGUAGGAGACUGAAAGAAAUGACCUCCAGCUGUCCCUCUCAUGACCAAGGACCUCUGGCUUGUCGUGAGUGUUCUGGCCAGCUGCACAGCACGGAUUAAUGGGCCAAAGGGAGCCGCUCUCUGAUCUGCGCUAAGCUUUUCAGGUUCUGUGGCCACCGCCAUCAGCCACAGAUUUAAUGAGAUCCGAGGCUUAAUUACCACAGUGCAGGGCUGCCAGCACUCUCUCCUGAUGACUUUAUCUUGGCUCCUGGAAGGAUGGGGGUGACAACAGUGUGUCGGCAGGAGAGGAGAGCCUAAAGCAGGGACUCUGGACCCUGGUGUUUCGGGGGGAUGUGGGCUGCAAGAGUAGGGUGGAGG
rnacentral:lncRNA from 1 species